GAUGAACGCUGACAGAAUGCUUAACACAUGCAAGUCAACUGUGGCGGACGGGUGAGUAACGCGUAAAGAACUUGCCUAACAGAUAGGGACAACAUUUGGAAACGAAUGCUAAUACCUGAUACUGUGAGAGAGCUUUGCGUCCCAUUAGCUAGUUGGAGAGGUAACGGCUCACCAAGGCGAGGAUGGGUAGCCGGCCUGAGAGGGUGAUCGGCCACAAGGGGACUGGGACACGGCCCUUAGUCCUACGGGAGGAAGCAGGGGGGAAUAUGGGACAAAGGACCAAAGUCUGAUCAAGAAAUUCUGUGGGCAAGAUAAAGUUUUCGGAAGGAAAAGUGCUUUCAGAUGGGAAGCGGUACCAACAGAAGAAGUGACGGCUAAAUACGUGCCAGCAGCCGCGGUAAUAC
rnacentral:rRNA from 1 species